rnacentral:rRNA from 1 species
GACGAACGCUGGCGGCGUGCUUAACACAUGCAAGUCGAACGCUGAAGCUUGGUGCUUGCACUGGGUGGAUGAGUGGCGAACGGGUGAGUAAUACGUGAGUAACCUGCCCUUGACUCUGGGAUAAGCCUGGGAAACUGGGUCUAAUACUGGAUACGACAUGUCGCCGCAUGGUGGUGUGUGGAAAGGGGUUUACUGGUUUUGGAUGGGCUCACGGCCUAUCAGCUUGUUGGUGGGGUAAUGGCUCACCAAGGCGACGACGGGUAGCCGGCCUGAGAGGGUGACCGGCCACACUGGGACUGAGACACGGCCCAGUCUCCUACGGGAGGCAGCAGUGGGGAAUAUUGCACAGUGGGCGGAAGCCUGAUGCAGCGACGCCGCGUGAGGGAUGACGGCCUUCGGGUUGUAAACCUCUUUCAGCACGGAAGAAGCGAAAGUGACGGUACGUGCAGAAGAAGCGCCGGCUAACUACGUG